GUAUUACUCCCUCCGUUCGGAAUUACUUGUCGCAAAAAUAGAUGUAUCUAGACGUAUUUUAGUUCUAGAUACAUCCAUUUUGUACGUCUAGAUACAUCCAUUUUUGCGACAAGUAAUUCCGAACGGAGGGAGUACUUC
rfam:Triticum urartu cultivar G1812 contig713578, whole genome shotgun sequence.